rnacentral:piRNA from 1 species
CGGUGGCCGAGUGGUUAAGGCGUUGGACU